UACGUAGGGGGCAAGCGUUGUCCGGAAUCAUUGGGCGUAAAGCGCGUGUAGGCGGCCCGGAAAGUCUGGUGUGAAAACUUGAGGCUCAACCUCAAGCUGUCACUGGAUACUGUCGGGCUUGAGUCUGGAAGAGGAGAGUGGAAUUCCUGGUGUAGCGGUGGAAUGCGCAGAUAUCAGGAGGAACACCAAUGGCGAAGGCAGCUCUCUGGUACAUGACUGACGCUGAGACGCGAAAGCGUGGGUAGCAAACAGG
rnacentral:rRNA from 1 species